rnacentral:rRNA from 1 species
GACGAACGCUGGCGGCGUGCUUAACACAUGCAAGUCGAGCGGAAAGGCCCUUCGGGGUACUCGAGCGGCGAACGGGUGAGUAACACGUGAGUAACCUGCCCCAGACUUUGGGAUAACCCUCGGAAACGGGGGCUAAUACCGGAUACGACACAGCUUCGCAUGGGGUCUGUGUGGAAAGUUUUUCGGUUUGGGAUGGGCUCGCGGCCUAUCAGCUUGUUGGUGGGGUGAUGGCCUACCAAGGCGACGACGGGUAGCCGGCCUGAGAGGGCGACCGGCCACACUGGGACUGAGACACGGCCCAGACUCCUACGGGAGGCAGCAGUGGGGAAUAUUGCACAAUGGGCGGAAGCCUGAUGCAGCGACGUCGCGUGAGGGAUGACGGCCUUCGGGUUGUAAACCUCUUUCAGCAGGGACGAAGCGUAAGUGACGGUACCUGCAGAAGAAGCGCCGGCCAACUACGUG